AGUGUGAGAAUGUGGCCAGAGCGUCUGGGGAAGACAGGGAGAGUUGUCAGAGAGGAGUUUUGAGGAGGCCCUGAAGGCUCGCCGGCUGUUAAGGCCUGAGCUGUAGUGGGCAAGAAGAGAUGGCCAGUUCAGGUAGAGGAAGCCUGCUUUGAGCUGAAGACCGGAGGUGAAUCUGGACAGGGCUUCCCAGGACCAGUAUUUUUCCCUCUCCACCCUGGUCUUCUCCUGUAACGUGUGGCCGCCUUUUCCAGCACGGCCUCCUGCCUUCCUGGUGCACUUUUUGGAGAACGUGGUGGAAUCAGAGGUUUCUGGCUGACUCGGUGGGUGCUUUGAACCAGGAAAGGACAAGAAAGAGUGAAAUAGAAAACAAGAUCAUCUGUAUCAGGAAUGAUGGCAGAAGACGCUUAAAAUUCUGGCAUUGCCACUGAGAAGAAUGAAGGAUGGAGCUGAUUAGAAAAUUGUAGGAUUGCUGAGCACUGUGAGAGUGGAUGCAGAGAUUCUGAAACUGGGCAGAGGUUCCAGAAGACAAGUCAUUUUUCUAGACCUCCCAUAGACGCCAUCGUUGAUCAAGCCAUUUUCAUUUUCACGAAGUAUUUUAUUAUGGAACUCCUAAAGACCAUCAGCCCUACCUGGCACUGGCUUUCUGGUUGAAAAGCAGCAUUGUGGAGCCUGAAACAUCAUCAGAGGCAACUGCUUCCCCUCCCUGUGGAUUUAGGACCGCUAUGUGCAGAGGUCUGUAUUAGAGAGCCAGCUAGAGUAGCCAGCAGUGACAUAACUAUGUAGGGAGAAGACACAGUUGUCACCUUGACCCCACUGGAUACAGAAAUGUCAAUGGAAAAACAAAUUCUGCAUCUGCUGAAUUGUUCUGUCAAUGCUUGCACUUUCUUGUCAUUUACUAUAUAGAAAGAAUUAUUAGUAUCUUUUAUUUGUCAGUUAUUGAUCCACCUUUUUUUUUUUUUUUUUUUUGGUGGCAGUUCUCCUGUUUGUUAGUUUGCUGUCCCAGUUGAAUUCUGAGUUUCCGGGAAUCCCUAGUGCAAUGAGAAAUGAUGGAGAACCAAUUCUCAUUAUCUGAUGAAGGAAAGAGCCAUGUACCUACAACAGCAAAGGCUCAGACAAGCCUUCUCCUGCCUUGGGUUCAUGGUCACGUGCUGUAGGUGUCUUGUCUUCCCAUGUGCACCUGUCUGCAUCCUCAUGGUGCAUCCUCAGGAUGUCCCGUACAGUGUCUUACCUAUGGUUAUGCUUUUAUAACAAUGUGCUAAUAAAAGCAUGGAUUACAAAACAAAA
ensembl:lncRNA LINC00511 long intergenic non-protein coding RNA 511